rnacentral:lncRNA from 1 species
GGGACUGGAAGCUUGAUCAUUGCCAGGAUCUAGAUUCAGAGAGAGGGGUGAAAAAGGGACAUGGAUUCAGAGAGGGGUGAAAAGAGGGGACUGAAAGAUCUUGCAUUGCAUUUCUUCAUCUACCAAUACUGUUUUGUGUACCAUUUGAACAUAGCCAAGCAGUAUAACAAAAGUGUGGCUGGUAAUAUCCCUUUCUUAUUUUGUAAUUGGACAAAUAUUUGCACAUGUGCCACGUCUAUGCAGUCUUUCUAACUGAUGCAGUUUCUAGGUUUAUGGCUUCUCAUGGGAUGUGAUUCUGGUCGUGCUGCUUGUUAUGAAGGUAAAAACAAAGUUAU